AUCACACUUAUAUCCCAUCUUUGUUGGAAGUCACACAUGUACAGUAGCUAGGUACUGGGCUACUAGCUUGAAGCUAAUGCUGCUAGCGUUUAGCCACCUCGUUCUCAAUGG